rnacentral:rRNA from 1 species
UACGGGGGGGGCAAGCGUUGUUCGGAAUUACUGGGCGUAGAGGGUUUGUAGGUGGCCGGCUAAGUCAGGCGUGAAAUCCCUCAGCUUAACUGGGGAACUGCGUCUGGGACUGGUCGGCUUGAGGGCCGGAGAGGAACGCGGAAUUCCAGGUGUAGCGGUGAAAUGCGUAGAUAUCUGGAGGAACACCGGUGGCGAAGGCGACAUCCUGGACCGGUAUUGACGCUGAGGCGCGAAAGCCAGGGGAGCAAACGGG